CACUGAAGUAUCAUUGUGUCAAGGCCCUCUCAGGCCUACAGCAAUGGAACUGGAUGAGCACAGACUGAAACCUCUGAGGCUGGAAAAUAUCCAGGGUGGUUCUUGUCCAAAGAAGAAGAAAAAGGGAACAGAUAUCAACCAAGCCAAGAUCUCCAGCCAAGUCUAGCUGGAUUUCUGCCUGAGAAGACCAACUACACUGACCCAGAGACUUCCGAGUAAGGAAGAUAAAUGGGCAACAGAGCUGUGGCUUCGAGUGCACUGCUUGUAUUGACCUUGAAGAAUUACUUGAGUCACCUUUCAUCAGAUAAACGGAGAGCUAUAAUUUGUCUCUUAACAAGACUGCCAAUAGAGCAUCUGUGAGAUUUCUACAGACUCCAAGGUUUCCCAUCAUUUUUUGUCGUGGCAGGCAACCCUUCUCUGAACUCUGGCUACAGUGAUCUCUGUUUUAGUAGGUCAUCAACUGUGCUCGUAGCCUUUUUAUUCUACCUUUAUGACCAUCUCAGAAAGGCCCCAUGUGUUGCUUUCACAAUCACAUAUCUGUGUUACAUUUGGGUCUGCAGGUCAAAUUUAAUAUAUGUUCAAUAAAUCCAUGCUUGCUAUGAACUUUGCUGUUUUCAUUCGGAAGAUGAUGAUAAUAUUAAUUUUUAUGAGGGUCGUGAGGAUUGAAUGGCCUGCAAUCAUGAAGCACUAGCACACUGGUGCUUAGUGUCACUUUGAGUGCCCUCUACCCACCCUGUACAUAUCCAGUAGGUUCUCUCAGGACAGAAACAAAAGUACCAGGCUAUCACUUUAUGCUCCCUUGGUAUUUAUGGGUGGGAGGCAAUUCUCAAAGUUAAUCAAACUGAG
ensembl:lncRNA